rnacentral:tRNA from 1 species
GGGAAGGUGGCUCAGUGGUAGAGUGCUUGCCUUGCAUACAUGAGGCCCUGGGUUCGAUUCCUCAGCACCCCA